rnacentral:rRNA from 1 species
GAUGAACGCUGGCGGUCUGCUUAACACAUGCAAGUCGAACGGAAUCCUUCGGGAUUUAGUGGCGGACGGGUGAGUAACGCGUGAGAAUCUGCCUUCAGGUUCGGGACAACAGCUGGAAACGGCUGCUAAUACCGGAUGUGCCGAGAGGUGAAAGCUUUAGUGCCUGAAGAUGAGCUCGCGUCUGAUUAGCUAGUAGGAGUGGUAAUGGCACCCCUAGGCGACGAUCAGUAGCUGGUCUGAGAGGAUGAUCAGCCACACUGGGACUGAGACACGGCCCAGACUCCUACGGGAGGCAGCAGUGGGGAAUUUUCCGCAAUGGGCGCAAGCCUGACGGAGCAAGACCGCGUGAGGGAAGAGGGUCUGUGGAUUGUAAACCUCUUUUGAUGGGGAAGAAGACAGUGACGGUACCCAUCGAAUCAGCCUCGGCUAACUCCGUGCCAGCAGCCGCCGCCG